rnacentral:rRNA from 1 species
CAGUAGCCACGGUAAGACAGAGGAUGCAAGCGUUAUCCGGAAUGAUUGGGCGUAAAGCGUGCGCAGGCGGUUGUGUAAGACAGGUGUGAAAUCCCCGGGCUUAACCUGGGAACUGCGCUUGUGACUGCACAGCUAGAGUAUGGCAGAGGGGGGUGGAAUUCCACGUGUAGCAGUGAAAUGCGUAGAGAUGUGGAGGAACACCGAUGGCGAAGGCAGCCCCCUGGGCCAAUACUGACGCUCAUGCACGAAAGCGUGGGGAGCAAACAGGAUUAGAUACCCCAGUAGUCCCUGUCUCUUAUAC